UACGAAGGGGGCUAGCGUUGCUCGGAAUUACUGGGCGUAAAGGGCGCGUAGGCGGCUCUGUUAGUCAGAGGUGAAAGCCCAGGGCUCAACCUUGGAAUUGCCUUUGAUACUGGCUAUCUUGAGUUCGGGAGAGGUGAGUGGAAUGCCGAGUGUAGAGGUGAAAUUCGUAGAUAUUCGGCGGAACACCAGUGGCGAAGGCGACUCACUGGCCCGAUACUGACGCUGAGGCGCGAAAGCGUGGGGAGCAAACAGG
rnacentral:rRNA from 1 species